GGGGGCGAACGGAUUCGACGGAGAUAGAUGACGUAAGGUAAGCGUGCCGAGGCUGCCGCAACCUCGUAAAAAUGUGGCAAACUUCAAUUGCCAACGAUAACUUGGCAUUGGCUGCUUAAAAAAGCAGCUCGUUCGCUUCUCCUGAGCUGUCAGGGGUGAAUGUCGAGCGUCGUUUACUGAUAGCUAGUCUGCAGUCCGGCUCCCGGCCUGCAGGCGAAACUCAUGGGAGCUAGCCUUCAGGUUUUCCGCCUGCUGGAGCGCCUGCAAGGCGAAUCAUUAUACAGUAGGCUACGCACGUAGAAGCCUUGCUGCGGUAUUUUCGGACGCGGGUUCGAUUCCCGCCGCCUCCACCA
rnacentral:tmRNA from 2 species